rnacentral:misc_RNA from 1 species
GAAGCGCGAAAUGUAAUGUGAAUCGCAAUAUUCCGUGAAUCAUCAAAUCUUCGAACGCAUAUUGCGCUCUCGGGUUAUUCCUGAGAGCAUGCUUGUUUGAGUGUCAUAUCAAUCUCAUAAACAAUUUUUUGUUUGUGGAUUUGGAUGUUCUCAGUUGAAAAGCUGAGUCGUCUUAAAUAAAGAGGGAACCAGCAAACAAGUUCAUGCCUGGCGCGAUAAUAGGUUUUUGCCUUUUUUCAAGUCUGUGUGUGAUAAACUUGUUGUUUCUGUAAAGCGAUUCAAUCGCAAUAGAAAAUUUAUUUUCUGAACUCUGACCUCAAAUCAAGUAAGACUACCCGCUGAACUUAA